GACGAACGCUGGCGGCGUGCCUAACACAUGCAAGUCGAACGAGACCUUCGGGUCUAGUGGCGCACGGGUGCGUAACGCGUGGGAACCUGCCCUUAGGUUCGGAAUAACUCCCCGAAAGGGGUGCUAAUACCGGAUAAUGUCUUCGGACCAAAGAUUUAUCGCCUUUGGAUGGGCCCGCGUUGGAUUAGCUAGUUGGUAGGGUAAAAGCCUACCAAGGCGACGAUCCAUAGCUGGUCUGAGAGGAUGAUCAGCCACACUGGGACUGGGACACGGCCCAGACUCCUACGAGAGGCAGCAGUGGGGAAUAUUGGACAAUGGGCGAAAGCCUGAUCCAGCAAUGCCGCGUGAGUGAUGAAGGCCUUAGGGUUGUAAAGCUCUUUUACCCGGGAUGAUAAUGACAGUACCGGGAGAAUAAGCUCCGGCUAACUCCGUG
rnacentral:rRNA from 1 species